GUCUACGACUGUGUCACCCUGAACAUGCCCGAUCUCGUCUGAUCUUGGAAGCUAAGCAGGGUUGAGCCUGGUUAGUACUUGGAUGGGAAACCACCUAGGAAUACCAGGUACUGUAGAUG
ensembl:rRNA 5S_rRNA 5S ribosomal RNA